GCGGAGGAAGGUGAAGUAGGACCGAAUUCCUGUGCCGAAGAGGCCUGCAGUGGGAGAGCAGGGUGGGUCAGGGAGGCCGGGGCCGGGGCUGGGGCCGCGCUGAGAGUCCAAGGGCGGGCCCACCGGACGGCGUGGGGUGCCCGCCAGGCUCCCACCCGCCCGAGUCCGGAGGUACCGCUGACAGUCACCUGGGGGUGCUGCGUGGGCCCGAGGUUUGCGGUGCCUGCGGGCGGAAGGGGUGGGAGGGGGGAGG
rnacentral:lncRNA from 1 species